AUCCUGACCAUUCUGCUGUCAUGUAUGUAAGGCCGUGCUGGAACUACAUUUCUCGUUGUUGAAAGAUUUGUGCAGCGGUAUCCAGACAUAUAACGCCCCAUCACAUGGGGCGUCAACGCCUCUCGUUUACUUUUAAAUGAAGUGACGUCAAGGAUGGUGAAAUUAAUUCUAGAAAUUAAUUCUAAAUAGAAGUUGAAGACUUUUCAAGCACCAAUGCAGCCGUCCUCCAGUCAGGAAAUAUAAUGCAAAUACCCAAGCGCAGACGCAAGCCAAUCGAGUGCAUGCAAUACCAGAAAACUAAUGUGAUUGGCUGUCACUAUGAGAAGAGACAGUAAUUCUGAUCCGAUAUCAGUGUCGUUUUUUGCAAAAAAAAAAUUUAAAUCAAUGUAGAAUUUUCUAUACUUCUGUGUAAGGAUGUCAAUUUUCAAUAAUUUCCAUGAUCGAUCGUCGGGGGAAGUCGUGGCCUAAUGGUUAGAGGGUUGGACUCCCAAUCGAAGGGUUGUGAGUUCUAGUCUCGGGCCGGACGGAAUUGUGGGUUGGGGUAGUGCACGAACAGCUCUCUCUCCUCCUUCAAUACCACAACUUAGGUGCCCUUGAGCAAGGCAUCGAACCCCCAACUGCUCCCCGGGCGCCGCAGCAUAAAUGGCUGCCCACUGCUCCGGGUGUGUGCUCACAGUGUGUGUGUGUGUGUGUUCACUGCUCUGUGUGUGUGCAUUUCAGAUGGGUUAAAUGCAGAGCACAAAUUCUGAGUAUGGGUCACCAUACUUGGCUGAAUGUCACUUCACUUCACUUCACUUCACUUAAAUUAACGAUCAAAUAAUCGAUUAAUCGUUAACCCUAAUGCUGCAAAGUCUAUUGCAGUAACACCCAGUCACUGGUAUGACAGGAUGUGCAAAAGUGUGUGUGUGUGUGUAUAUGUAUAUAUAUGUAUAUAUAAUAUAUAAAAGACCAAAAGUUUGGACACCUUCUCAUUCAAAGAGUUUUCUUUAUUUUCAUGACUAUGAAAAUUGUAGAGUCACACUGAAGGCAUCAAGGGCUAUUUGAGCAAGAAGGAGAGUGAUGGGGUGCUGCACCAGAUGACCUGGCCUCCACAGUCACCGGACCUGAACCCAAUCCAGAUGGUUUAGGGGUGAGCUGGACCGCAGACAGAAGGAAAAAGGGCCAACAAGUGCUAAGCAUCUCUCAGGGAACUCCUUCAAGACUGUUGGAAGACCAUUUCAGAUUUGAGGGAAAGAUUAAAAACAAGGAGGUCUGGGAACGACUGAAGGGAACUGACAGCAGUGCGGGAAGGAAGUAAUCACCAGAAUCUCAGAGAAGGAUGUUGACAGCAGGCCCAGGAUGAAGAAGAGGAGGAAGAACACGUUUAACAAUUUUCUAUAAGCUUGCCAUGUGUUAUAAUAAAAACAAUGAACAUGACUACAAUAAUAUGCUAAAUGUUAUUAAAAGAUUCCAGUUUGCAAGAAGUCUGAGUGUCUGACUCUACACUAGAGGAACUCUUUUCUGAAGAAGAUCAGGUGCUGAGAAGGAGCCUUGUUCUACAGCACAACACUGCAUCAAGCCUCCUGUCCUUCCCUCAGAAGAGCCUGUCUUCUGCUGCUGGGGUAAGAAACGCACUCUUCCUCUUCUCUAUCAGCUGUCCAGCACCUAACUCUGCCUCCUCAGCACUGUCUGAAAGAGUCUUCUCCACAGUCAGUAAUCAGAGAUCACAGAUUCUUCUGAGAAAGUCGAUAUGCUCAUUUUCUUAAAAAACUUUGUUUUUUCGGGUGGGACAAAUAAUACAGGAGAGAUGCUAGAAAUCUCUAUAUUGUUCAUUUUUCAUAUCUUUACGCUUUAUGAAUGUUUUUCUUCUGAGAAGCUCAAAAAUUAUGGUUCUUUGGUAAUUGUUAUAUUGUUUAGUUUUAUCCUCUGAUAGUGAGCACAGAGCCCUGAUCAUGACAUGCAAGAAAAAGAAAGAAAUCAUGUCCAUGAUUUACUAAUUCGUUCCCUCUAUGUACUAAAACGUGCACGAUUACUUUUACAUUUCAUUGAUUUGCUAAAUCGUAUGCACAAUUUACUAAUUCGUUCUCUUGAUGUAUAAAUAGUGUACACGUUUUAGCAAAUCGAGGGAAUGAAAUAGAAAAUUGUGCGCAUGAAUUAGCCUAAAUUUUUUUCUGCAUGUCGUGUAAUUAAAGCACAUCACCACCAGACAUUUAUACCAGGAGCCUCUUAUACGACGCUCACAGUUUUACUUUGUGCAGUAUCUCUGUGCAGUAUCUGCUGAAUUGUUUCAUAUCUAUUUAUCAUGUAUUUUUUGUUGCACUAAAUUAUGUUGUAUCAAUAAGUUUACUGAUAAUUAUUUUUAAUUUUCACUAAUAACGUCAUUAACCAUCUCCCCAUCUUUAAGACAAAAAUGUUCUAUUGUUUAUAUUGUGUAAUCUAUGAAUUGAUGUGUUUAGUUUUCUGUGCUCAUAACUUAGUAACAUUUUGCAUGGUUAAAGAACAGGUGCGAUGUUCAAAAUGUUUUGGCUUCGUAUUUGUACAAAGUAGUGCUGAAUAAAUAUUGAUUUGUGAAUGAA